rnacentral:ncRNA from 1 species
CUGAUGGGCGCGUUCGGGUCAAUUGCGGCCUGCAACACCCGAUCUCGCUCCCCGUGCCGUCAAAAAUGUCGGUACAGGAGGGAGAGCGCGUAACCGUCAG